rnacentral:rRNA from 1 species
UACGGAGGGUGCGAGCGUUAUCCGGAAUCACUGGGCGUAAAGGGCGCGUAGGCGGUUUGUUAAGUCCGUUGUCAAAGACCGGGGCUCAACCCCGGAAUGGCAGUGGGUACUGGCAGGCUGGACGGCUGGAGAGGCGAGUGGAAUUACCAGUGUAGCGGUGGAAUGCGUAGAUACUGGUAGGAACACCUAUGGCGAAGGCAGCUCGCUGGACAGCUCGUGACGCUGAGGCGCGAAAGUGUGGGGAGCGAACCGG